rnacentral:tRNA from 1 species
GCCGGCGUAGCUCAAUUGGUAGAGCACCUGAAUCGUAAUCAGGGGGUUGUGGGUUCGAUUCCUAUCGCCGGCACCA